rnacentral:rRNA from 1 species
UACAGAGGGUGCGAGCGCUAAUCGGAUUUACUGGGCGUAAAGCGUGUGUAGGUGGCUUCCUAAGUCGAUUGUGAAAUCCCUGGCUCAACCUGGGAAUUGCAGUCGAUACUGGGGAGCUCGAGUUCGGUAGAGGACGGCGGAAUUCCCGGUGUAGCGGUGAAAUGCGUAGAUAUCGGGAGGAACAUCGAUGGCGAAAGCAACCGUCUGGGCCUGAACUGACACUGAGACACGAA